UACGUAGGGGGCUAGCGUUGUCCGGAAUCAUUGGGCGUAAAGCGCGUGUAGGCGGUUCGGUAAGUCCGCUGUGAAAGUCGGGGGCUCAACCCUCGGAAGCCGGUGGAUACUGUCGAGCUAGAGUACGGAAGAGGCGAGUGGAAUUCCUGGUGUAGCGGUGAAAUGCGCAGAUAUCAGGAGGAACACCAAUGGCGAAGGCAGCUCGCUGGGACGUUACUGACGCUGAGACGCGAAAGCGUGGGGAGCGAACAGG
rnacentral:rRNA from 1 species